rnacentral:lncRNA from 1 species
GAAGAAUGAUCUUAGUGCGGUUAGAAAUGACUCGCCGCUUCUUUUGACACGAAACUAUUUGCAUAGGAGCUCAUCCACUCCAUGCCUUUCGCCAAGGGGGAAUGAUAUCCAACAAAGGGAUAGGAGCGGUCCUAUUGAGAUAUUGGGACAAUCGGAUUGCUUUGCUAUUACAAAAAAAAUGGUGAAAGACAUUGUGAAGGCAAUUAAGAUGGGUGUUGAUCCAAUUCCUGUUAACGGUGGCCUUGGGGGUGCUUAUUAUUUUAGGAACAGCAGAUUUGAGAAUGUAGCAAUUGUGAAACCAACGGAUGAAGAGCCUUUUGCUCCCAACAAUCCAAAGGGCUUUGUUGGUAAAGCUCUUGGGCAACCGGGAUUGAAGCGCUCAGUGCGGGUUGGUGAAACUGGGAUAAGAGAGGUUGCUGCUUACCUUCUUGACCAUGAUCACUUUGCAAAUGUGCCUCCCACAGCCCUUGUGAAAAUCACACACUCGAUCUUUAAUAUCAAUGAUGGGGUGAAUGGGCACAAGACUCACAACAAGAAUCUGGUCAGCAAGAUUGCAUCUUUCCAGCAGUUCAUAAAGCAUAAUUUCGAUGCUAGUGAUCAUGGAACCUCAAGCUUUCCUGUUUCUGAGGUGCAUCACAUAGGGAUACUAGAUAUUAGAAUUUUCAACACGGAUAGACAUGCAGGGAACCUUUUGGUAAGGAAGCUUGAUGGUGUUGGGAGCUUUGGGCAGGUGGAGCUCAUUCCAAUUGAUCACGGUCUAUGUUUGCCUGAAACUUUGGAAGAUCCAUACUUCGAGUGGAUUCAUUGGCCCCAAGCUUCAAUUCCAUUCUCAGAUG